GCUAUAUACAGGGGGUACCGGUACAGAGUCAAUGUGGAGGCUAUAUACAGGAGGUACCGGUACAGAGUCAAUGUGGAGGCUAUAUACAGGGGGUACCGGUACAGAGUCAAUGUGGAGGCUAUAUACAGGGGGUACCGGUACAGAGUCAAUGUGGAGGCUAUAUACAGGGGGUACCGGUACAGAGUCAAUGUGGAGACUAUAUACAGGGGGUACCGGUACAGAGUCAAUGUGGAGGCUAUAUACAGGGGGUACCGGUACAGAGUCAAUGUGGAGGCUAUAUACAGGGGGUACCGGUACAGAGUCAAUGUGGAGACUAUAUACAGGGGGUACCGGUACAGAGUCAAUGUGGAG
ensembl:lncRNA